GCCAGUGUGAUGUAGUGGUUUGAGUGUUGGACUACAACUCUAGAGAUCAGAGUUCAAUUCUCUGCUUAGCCA
rnacentral:tRNA from 1 species